rnacentral:rRNA from 1 species
UUACUCUUCGGGGUUGUAGGACUGGAAUGUGGUCUCAAAGAUUAUAGAAGAUUGAUUUGGGAAGAUCAGCCAAAGAGAGUAAUAGCCUCGUAUUUAAAAUAGUCUUUGUACCUAGCAGUAUCCUGAGUACGGCGGGACACGCGAAAUCCCGUCGGAAUCUGGGAGGACCAUCUCCCAACCCUAAAUACUCCCGAGAGACCGAUAGCGAACCAGUACCGUGAGGGAAAGGUGAAAAGCACCCCGGGAGGGGAGUGAAAUAGAACCUGAAACCGUGUGCCUACAACAAGUUCGAGCCCGUUAAUGGGUGAGAGCGUGCCUUUUGUAGAAUGAACCGGCGAGUUACGUUAUGAUGCGAGGUUAAGUUGAAGAGACGGAGCC